rnacentral:rRNA from 1 species
GUCGAGCGCACCCUUCGGGGCGAGCGGCGGACGGGUUAGUAACGCGUGGGAACAUACCCUUUUCUAUGGAAUAGCCUUUGGAAACGAAGAGUAAUACCAUAUACGCCCUUCGGGGGAAAGAUUUAUCGGAGAAGGAUUGGCCCGCGUAAGAUUAGAUAGUUGGUGGGGUAAUGGCCUACCAAGUCUACGAUCUUUAGCUGGUUUUAGAGGAUGAUCAGCAACACUGGGACUGAGACACGGCCCAGACUCCUACGGGAGGCAGCAGUGGGGAAUCUUAGACAAUGGGCGCAAGCCUGAUCUAGCCAUGCCGCGUGUGUGAUGAAGGCCUUAGGGUCGUAAAGCACUUUCGCCAGAGAUGAUAAUGACAGUAUCUGGUAAAGAAACCCCGGCUAACUCCGUGCCAGCAGCCGCGGUAAUACGGAGGGUGCGAGCGUUAAUCGGAAUUACUGGGCGUAAAGCGCACGCAGGCGGUUAUAUAAGCUAGAUGUGAAAGCCCCGGGCUCAACCUGGGAAUAGCAUUUAGAACUGUAUGACUAGAGUCUUGGAGAGGGGAGUGGAAUUCCAGGUGUAGCGGUGAAAUGCGUAGAUAUCUGGAGGAACAUCAGUGGCGAAGGCGACUCC